rnacentral:rRNA from 1 species
UACGUAGGGUCCGAGCGUUGUCCGGAAUUAUUGGGCGUAAAGAGCUCGUAGGCGGUUUGUCGCGUCUGCUGUGAAAUCCCGAGGCUCAACCUCGGGUCUGCAGUGGGUACGGGCAGACUGGAGUGAUGUAGGGAGACUGGAAUUCCUGGUGUAGCGGUGAAAUGCGCAGAUAUCAGGAGGAACACCAAUGGCGAAGGCAGCUCGCUGGAACGGUACUGACGC